GGGGAAUUUUGGACAAUGGGCGAAAGCCUGAUCCAGCAAUGCCGCGUGUGUGAAGAAGGCCUUCGGGUUGUAAAGCACUUUUGUCCGGAAAGAAAUCCUUGGUUCUAAUAUAGCCGGGGGAUGACGGUACCGGAAGAAUAAGCACCGGCUAACUACGUGCCAGCAGCCGCGGUAAUACGUAGGGUGCGAGCGUUAAUCGGAAUUACUGGGCGUAAAGCGUGCGCAGGCGGUUUGCUAAGACCGAUGUGAAAUCCCCGGGCUCAACCUGGGAACUGCAUUGGUGACUGGCAGGCUAGAGUAUGGCAGAGGGGGGUAGAAUUCCACGUGUAGCAGUGAAAUGCGUAGAGAUGUGGAGGAAUACCGAUGGCGAAGGCAGCCCCCUGGGCCAAUACUGACGCUCAUGCACGAAAGCGUGGGGAGCAAAC
rnacentral:rRNA from 1 species